rnacentral:RNase_P_RNA from 1 species
GGCUUGAUGAUCGCGGGCGCAGCGCCGAAAGGACGCGUCUGAGGAAAGUCCGGGCUCCAUAGGGCAGGGUGCCGGGUAACACCCGGUGGAGGCAACUCCAAGGAAAGUGCAACAGAAAAUAACCGCAUGCCGCACAGGCGUGUAAGGAUGAAAAGGCGAGGUAAGAGCUCACCGGCGCCGGGGUAAUUCGGCGGCCGUGUAAACCCCAUCCGGAGCAACACCGCAUAUGAGACACUGCGUUGGCCCGACGGUCUCAGAGGUGGCAGGAACCGUACAGUAAUGUACGGUCUAGAUAGAUGAUCAUCCACGACAGAACCCGGCUUACGGCCUGCUU